rnacentral:rRNA from 1 species
CAGUAGCCGCGGGAAUACGAAGGGUGCAAGCGUUACUCGGAAUUACUGGGCGUAAAGCGUGCGUAGGUGGUGGUUUAAGUCCGUUGUGAAAGCCCUGGGCUCAACCUGGGAAUUGCAGUGGAUACUGGGUCACUAGAGUGUGGUAGAGGAUAGUGGAAUUUCCGGUGUAGCAGUGAAAUGCGUAGAGAUCGGAAGGAACAUCUGUGGCGAAGGCGACUAUCUGGGCCAACACUGACACUGAGGCACGAAAGCGUGGGGAGCAAACAGGAUUAGAUACCCCUGUAGUCCCUGUCUCUUAACA